UACGGGGGGGCAAGCGUUGUUCGGGAUUACUGGGCGUAAAGGGCUCGUAGGUGGCCAACUAAGUCAGACGUGAAAUCCCCUCGGCUUAACCGGGGAACUGCGUCUGAUACUGGAUGGCUUGAGGUUGGGAGAGGGAUGCGGAAUUCCAGGUGUAGCGGUGAAAUGCGUAGAUAUCUGGAGGAACACCGGUGGCGAAGGCGGCAUCCUGGACCAAUUCUGACGCUGAGGAGCGAAAGCCAGGGGAGCAAAGCGGG
rnacentral:rRNA from 1 species